rnacentral:rRNA from 1 species
CCUACGGGUGGCAGCAGUGAGGAAUAUUGGUCAAUGGGCGAGAGCCUGAACCAGCCAAGUCGCGUGAGGGAGUACUGCCCUAUGGGUUGUAAACCUCUUUUGUCGGGGAGCAAAAGCCGGACGUGUCCGGCUGUGAGAGUACCCGAAGAAAAAGCAUCGGCUAACUCCGUGCCAGCAGCCGCGGUAAUACGGAGGAUGCGAGCGUUAUCCGGAUUUAUUGGGUUUAAAGAGGGCGCAGGCGGAUUAUUAAGUCAGAGGUAAAAUCGUGGGGCUCAACCCCAUCCAGCCGUUGAAACUGGGGAUCUAGAGUGUGCGAGAGGUAUGCGGAAUGCGUGGUGUAGCGGUGAAAUGCAUAGAUAUCACGCAGAACCCCGAUUGCGAAGGCAGCAUACCGGUGCACAACUGACGCUCAGGCACGAAAGCGUGGGUAUCGAACAGGAUUAGAUACACCAGUAGUC